AAGCCAUGACUGACGCUGAUGCACGAAAGCGUGGGGAUCAAACAGGAUUAGAUACCCUGGUAGUCCACGCAGUAAACGAUGAUCACUAGCUGUUUGCGAUACACUGUAAGCGGCACAGCGAAAGCGUUAAGUGAUCCACCUGGGGAGUACGCCGGCAACGGUGAAACUCAAAGGAAUUGACGGGGGCCCGCACAAGCGGAGGAACAUGUGGUUUAAUUCGAUGAUACGCGAGGAACCUUACCCGGGCUUAAAUUGCAGAUGAAUUACGGUGAAAGCCGUAAGCCGCAAGGCAUCUGUGAAGGUGCUGCAUGGUUGUCGUCAGCUCGUGCCGUGAGGUGUCGGCUUAAGUGCCAUAACGAGCGCAACCCUUGCCACUAGUUACUAACAGGUAAAGCUGAGGACUCUGGUGGGACUGCCAGCGUAAGCUGCGAGGAAGGCGGGGAUGACGUCAAAUCAGCACGGCCCUUACAUCCGGGGCGACACACGUGUUACAAUGGCGUGGACAAAGGGAAGCCACCUGGCGACAGGGAGCGAAUCCCCAAACCACGUCUCAGUUCGGAUCGGAGUCUGCAACCCGACUCCGUGAAGCUGGAUUCGCUAGUAAUCGCGCAUCAGCCACGGCGCGGUGAAUACGUUCCCGGGCCUUGUACACACCGCCCGUCAAGCCAUGAAAGCCGGGGGUACCUGAAGUGCGUAACCGCGAGGAGCGCCCUAGGGUAAAACUGGUGACUGGGGCUAAGUCGUAACAAGGUAGCCGUACCGGAAGGUGCGGCUG
rnacentral:rRNA from 1 species